CAAAAGGUUCCACUUGGAACCAAAAAAGGAUUCUUUAAAGGGUUAU
rfam:Salmo salar isolate Sally breed double haploid chromosome ssa09, whole genome shotgun sequence.